rnacentral:rRNA from 1 species
UACGUAGGUGGCAAGCGUUGUCCGGAUUUAUUGGGUUUAAAGGGUGCGUAGGCGGCUUGAUAAGUCAGUGGUGAAAGCCGAUCGCUUAACGAUCGAAUUGCCAUUGAUACUGCCAGGCUUGAGUACAGAUGAGGUAGGCGGAAUUGACGGUGUAGCGGUGAAAUGCAUAGAUAUCGUCAAGAACACCGAUAGCGAAGGCAGCUUACCAAGCUGUAACUGACGCUGAGGCACGAAAGUGUGGGGAUCAAACAGG